UACAGAGGGUGCGAGCGUGUCCGGAAUCACUGGGCGUAAAGGGCGCGUAGGCGGCUCGGUCAGCGUGCGGUGAAAUCCCGCGGCCCAACCGUGGAACGGCCUUUGAUACUGAUGGACUUGAGUGGCGUGAGGGGUAGGGGGAACGGAGCAGUGUAGCGGUGAAAUGCGUAGAUAUUGCUCGGAAGGCCAGAGCCGAAGGGGCCCUACUGGUACGUAACUGACACUGAGGCACGAAAGCGUGGGGAGCAAACAGG
rnacentral:rRNA from 1 species